CCUACGGGUGACAGCAGUGGGGAAUAUUGCGCAAUGGGCGAAAGCCUGACGCAGCGACGCCGCGUGAGGGAUGAAGGUCUUCGGAUCGUAAACCUCUGUCAGCAGGGAAGAACGGUCACUGUGUUAAUCAGCAGUGAAUUGACGGUACCUGCAAAGGAAGCACCGGCUAACUCCGUGCCAGCAGCCGCGGUAAUACGGAGGGUGCGAGCGUUAAUCGGAAUUACUGGGCGUAAAGCGCGCGUAGGCGGUAUGUCAAGUCAAGGGUGAAAUCCCCGUGCUCAACGUGGGAACUGCCUUUGAAACUGGCAAACUAGAGUGUGUGAGAGGAUAGUAGAAUUCCAGGUGUAGGGGUGAAAUCCGUAGAGAUGUGGAGGAACAUCAGUGGCGAAGGCGACUAUCUGGCACAUAACUGACGCUGAGGAGCGAAAGCGUGGGUAGCAAACAGGAUUAGAUACCCUUGUAGUC
rnacentral:rRNA from 1 species